GAGUGCGAAGGAGCUGUCUGCACACAGGAGAGCUGAACAAUCCAGUCAGGCAGAAAAUUUGGAGCUCACUGCAGAGUCCCCUUGGCGUCUGCGUCAGGAAGCCGAAGGGUCGAUGUUGGAAGUCUGAAGAGUCUGAGCUGGAGGCCUGGAUAUGGACUUCCAAAGGCGAUGUGAAGACUGGAGCUCCUCCACAGAAACCCUAAGCCAGACUUCCUCCUUCUCCUCAUUUUUAUCCCAUCCAGACUGCAAGCCUACUGUCUGGCACCCAGAGUAGGUCUUCCCGCUUCAGGAACUCCACACCCAGACCCAGAGCUGUGAGCUGUGCUAAACUCGUCCAUGGCUGUUCCCAUCUGAUGUCACAGGACACCUUCAGCACCCUGCCGGGGAUCUGCAUGGGGUAAAUUACAGCCCCGGAGACAGCCAGGCUUCAGUCUUCCACCGAGCAGAUGAUGCCAGCCCAGAGUCACCGCGGCCUCUGACUGUCUGUGUCGCCCACUGCUCCGUGAGUCCCUCCUGGGUUUGUCGCCUUCCUCGGCUGAGCCUGAGAGCCGUGUGUCCUGGCAGGAAAAUCCCAGCAGGGACAUUGGACCUCCUCCGGUGCCUCCCGACUGACCCCUUGGAGGGUGAGGCCAUGUGGCCAGAGGUCCUCACCUUCUGCCCCCACCGCAGACGGGGACACGAGGCUGGGUGGGAGCAGCAUCCUGACAUCCAGAAUGGAGACUGGAGCCCACACUGAGGCCCACACUGAGGCCAUUGCAAGGAAGGUUUGAGGCAGGAGACGGGGUGCAGAGAGGCUGGCUGGGGAAAUAAGUGGGAGACCAGUCGAUUGCAAGACCCCAAAGGAGCACCACAUAACCCCAGGACCCCGAAUGUGGAUGGCACAGAAGGACACAGAUGCCACGAGGAGCUGCCAUUGACCCUUCACAGUGCCACCCCGUGUCCCUCCCCUCACAGAGCGCUGGUCUUCAGUGUGGCUCCUGCUCAGGGUCCAGGUGAGAAGCUGGCCGAAGAGGCUUCACACCUGCGCGUUCCUUCAGCAGACAGACCCAAUGCGCUGUUCAGUCCCUUGAGGCCGCUGGGUCCUGCGGGGUGACUCGAGCCCACCGCGUGUCCCCCGAGACACAGUGAAGGGGGCUUGUCUUGCGUCUCCUGCGGGACUUUUACAGCCGCUACACUUCCGGUAAGGGGACGCCGGGCCAGGGUCACCUGGGAAGAUUCUCCCUCUGCGACAAUGACUGGUGGGAGAAAGGAGAGAGAAGAGCAGGGCCGGGGAAGGGCCCCGGGGCAUCCGGACGGCCCCUCUCCUACAGAUGUCUGCGUCCCUGCGUCCUCAGUCCCCACGCCGCUCAGACGCCGGGAUCCUCCGCGCUCGCAGCUCUCUGGCCGCCAGCUCAGCUGCACGGACCCAGCUGGAACCGCUCUCAGCGACACCGGGAUCUGCACGACGCUGCUCUUGGCCCCAUCGCCUGCUCUGUGCCGCGUCUCCCAGCCGACUCCUCCUGCCCAUCUGGACCUGCUCCCGUGACCAACAACCCCCUUCCCUCUCUCUACCCGGGUCCACCCUUACGUUAGAUUGGUCCGUGGACAGUGGGAUGACAGAACAUGAAGAAUCCAGCAGGCCGCACAGCUGUAUCAGCCACCUACUCAGGUGUGCUCCUGACAGCCCUGUCCUCCAGCCCAAGGGAGCAUUGGUUUCUGCGUCCACAGGUGUCUCUGGGGCGGCAGGCAGCACUACAGGCUGGGAACGCAGGUCGCGAUGGAGUCCCCUCGCCCCUGACCUUGUCAUGAGCGUAGGCUGUUUUGGGUAAUUCCAUGGUGUCGCUUGGGAGGAAGUUUUUCUAUUCCCCACGGGAAAUAAAUGCUGGGGCUGGAGGAGGCACAGUGAGGGCUACACAGAGAGUGUUGGCCACGUGUGGGCUGCAGUUGGGAAUGGCAGGCGUGGGCUCUUCCACCUCCCUCUUCCCUGACCGCCCAUCCUUCCCAGGCAGGUGAGUUCAGAAAGCAAAAUGGAGACAGAGCGAGGGGCUGUUUCACUGAGCCUCCUGCUGGGGAGAAGAGCCAAGGUGGAAGGAUCUGAGGGUGAUGGGCAAGGUGUAACCCAGAUUCACAGCGUCCACGCUGAUGGUAUCGCCUGGACCCAGCGGGCCUGGUGUGCUGGUGUCCUCUGUCACCAUCACCUCAACAGUCCUUCUCUGUCCGAGUGUCCUAUCCCGUGAGGGCCGUGGUCCCUGUGAGACACGGACCUCCAAAUCCACACAGACAAAGCGAAUGUUCCACCCCACAGCCGAGCCCUGCAGGCCCGUGAGCAGGGCCUGGGCCUCCGGAGUGAUGACACUGGGCAUGUGUGCAGAAAGGGCAGAUCAGAAGCCGUACCUGGCAUGUCACCUCGCUGCAGAUCCAGAGGUGCCCACGGUGCUCGGGAACUCACCCAGCUCCAGACGUGCACUGCAGAGCCAUUGUGUACUUUGCCCUGCAGCUCUUGGGAGCACAGUACGGGACAGCAGGCUUGGCCGGCUUCUGCCCGGGCCCUGUCACUGACCGUGCGGUGUCCUCCAGUGCCCACAGAGUGUUCUCCAGCUGAGGGGUCUGCGCGUGAUGCCCUGACUUUGGCAGGAGUAUGUGGUCCACAGGACCCCACUCUGGGCCUCCUCUUCCUGCAGGGGCUGCCUGCAGGAUGCCAGCAGUUGUCCCCCACUGGUGCCCUCCUUGACCUGGUGCACUGAAUUGUUGUUCUGAGCACUUGAAAGAGCUUCACCACAUUUGGGUGAUGUGGAGCCUUCAUCACUAAGGACGUUUGGCAGGAAUUCACAUCUUUGCUGUGACCCAUGGCAACUGGUGACAGCUCCCUGGGGCCCAAUGUGGGGCCUCUCCAGCCUGCUGCAGGAGUCUCCCAGACCCCACAGUGCACUGGCCACUCACCUUGAUGGACACUAUGUGUUAGGGACCUGAUGCCCAACACCAUCACAGGCUGUAUUCUCCUGGUUCUUCUUGCCUCUUAAAAUGACUUCUUAUCUUUAGUUUCCCUCCCCCCAAGGCCACAGCAGUCUGGAGGGGUUAAACCUGAGUUUCUUCAGGACUGAACCCAUAAAAGACAACCUGGCCUGUGAUAGGUUAAAAGUAGCCCACUCCUCAUAGAU